GGCCUGCUGGCCCAAUGGUAAGGCGCUUGACUACGAAUCAAGAGAUUGCAGGUUCGAAUCCUGCGUAGGUCA
rnacentral:tRNA from 1 species